GGAAGCAGCUCAGGGGUAGAGCGCAUGCUUAGCAUGCAUGAGGUUCUGGGUUCAAUCACCAGUACCUCCA
rnacentral:tRNA from 1 species